GAAAGGUGCCCGAGAAUAAGGACUGUUUUGAUAAAACAGAUACAGAGGCACAACCUCUCCUUCCUAUUAAGG
rnacentral:tRNA from 1 species